rnacentral:rRNA from 1 species
CGUGUAGGCGGUCAUGUAAGUCAGAUGUGAAAGCCUUCCGCUUAACGGGAGAAGUGCAUUUGAAACUGCAUGACUAGAGUACGGGAGAGGAGAGUGGAAUUCCCGGUGUAGAGGUGAAAUUCGUAGAUAUCGGGAGGAACACCAGUGGCGAAGGCGGCUCUCUGGAUCGAUACUGACGCUGAGACGCGAAAGCGUGGGGAGCAAACAGGAUUAGAUACCCUGGUAGUCCACGCCAUAAACGAUGGGCACUAGGUGUAGGAGGUAUUGACCCCUUCUGUGCCGAAGCUAACGCAUUAAGUGCCCCGCCUGGGGAGUACGGCCGCAAGGUUAAA